rnacentral:misc_RNA from 1 species
AUAUAUAUAUAUAUAUAAUCCAAUUGAAGAUUUCUAUUUCAUUUUUAUAUAUAUCCAAGACUUUGUUACCAUUUUCAUUUUUCACCAAUCUGAGAGUCAAAGGAAACCUAAAUAGAUUAAAUCAGACAAAAAACUUUAGGAAGAUACUGAGAAGUCAAAUUAUGUAGAAGAAAACAAAGCUAAACUGCCAAAAAUAUUUUCUUAUAAAGUCAAUUCUACCAUAGCCUCCAAAUACUUGUGCAAUGAUCAUUGUAUCAUAUUGAUAUAUGAGAUCAUUAGAGCUAUUUCUAUCAUAAUGGUGAAUAAUAGACCUUCAUAAACACAUAAAAUGUGCAGUGGGGUACAAUGGGUGACCUGUUUAAAAUCUAUGCAUAAAUGCUAUGCAUCAGCCCCUUAUCAAAUCAGAAAAAUCAAUAAAUAUAGAACUCCAGAAAACUAAAAUUUGAGAAACACUGAUUGGAGAGGAUAAACAACAAAGCAGCAUGUGUUCAUCUCUGGCAGGGAGAGAAGAAGAAGGUUACUGCCAUAAACUGAAUAACCGAAAUCAACCUGCUGCCCACUUUCCCUUGUGCAACAUAAAAAUGCAAGUUACUGGCAUUCUAUAGGCCCUUCAGAGGUUAAAACCAUAUCGCUUCAGAUUGCAACGCAGACCAACUAUAAUCAAUUUGUCAUGGUGUUGAGUUAAUAUAAAAAGCAAAAGAGAAAAGUUAACAUAUUUUUAAGUCAACUACUCGUUGCAAAGUGAACUUUAUCAGAAUCUCUGGUAUAUACAUAUUUGUAACUUCCCCUCUAUUGAGUUAUGGCUCAUAUUUGUUAGAGGGGAAUUUAUUGUUCAGUACAGGACCCAGCAAAGGAGAGGAGCUCCGUGACAAGGGGCAGAAUGCUAUUUGCAUUAGGAAUCCUGGGUGCAUGAGGAUUAGAUUAUUAUAAAUAGGGUUGCAAUAUUCUCCUUUCAGUAGUGAAAAAACAAGAGACUUUCUGCAGAUGUAGGCACACUUGCCAAACCAUAAAAUGUUAUUGUGUUCGUUUUC